ensembl:lncRNA
GUAAACAAAGAUGGAGGCUGUGGUUGUAGCAGCAUUACUUUGCAGUGAGGUGGAAAAAACACAAGGUUCAACUGACAACAAAGUGGUUGGAUAGACACUGUCAGCACAAGUUGUCUAUUCAAGGGUGAAAGGUAUUCAGGAGGGAGAGGACAACGUCUCCCCGCUGGACAAUUUACUGCCCUUCUCUGGGAAUUCUACAUGAUCCAGCAUGACAGAAUUCCCCGAAGCGUGACCUGUCAGUUACUGCCGUCAAAAGAAUUCGCUCACAAACAAAAAUAAAGGAGCCGAGCAUUGGCGAAAGCAUGCACACUAUGCACGCAGUCAGCUGGACAAUUGCAAGAGCAUGCAUGUGCAUGCUUAAACUGUGGCUCAUGAUUUACACUCCCAAAUGACUCAUCAUGACAUUAAAUGAAAACGAGAGAGCGAUCAAAUUAUCUUUUAUCCGCCGGCUGCUGCCUGACAGGAUUGCAACUGUGUUUGAAAGUUAAAAAUUUUUUAAAAAGCGGAAAGCCUCUAAGGCUGGGCUGAAGUUCAACGGUUUCAGGAUGUCUGCCAUGCUCCACCCGUGUACUAUGUAAAUCAGACAAAUGAGCAAGAUGCAUGAUGUAAUGAAGGAGAAGACUACAAUGUUUGGGUGUGUCAGAGCAUGGAAAGUUUAAACCAAUGAGGUACCUCGAAGACAAAGAGAGGCAUGAAGUCACCUUUGGAGAGCCCUUUUUUUGAUAGGCAUGAGAAUUUUUAAAAAACUAUUCAGUGCACUUCUGUGAAUUGACGUAUUAUUGAAAUCACUCAUACUGAGUACGUUUCACUUCAAGUUUC